UUAGCUUUCCUGUGAUGCUUUUGAAAGUUUUUGACCAAUCAGAGGAGUUGCUUUCAGGGCCCGUAAAAUAAAGUUGGAAAAAUACACGUUUAACCGACCCACAAUGCUGCAAUAUUUACAGAAUAGUAUGGAUUUUGCCUUUUUGAUUUGAGA